rnacentral:rRNA from 1 species
AUUAUACAGCGAAACUGCGAAUGGCUCAUUAUAUAAGUUAUCGUUUAUUUGAUAGUGCCUUACUACUUGGAUAACCGUGGUAAUUCUAGAGCUAAUACAUGCUACAAGCCCUGACUUCGGAAGGGGCGUAUUUAUUAGAUUAAAAACCAAUGCCCUCUGGGCUCCUUGGUGAAUCAUGAUAACUUCACGAAUCGCACGGCCUUGCGCCGGCGAUGGCUCAUUCAAAUUUCUUCCCUAUCAACUUUCGAUGUUUGGGUAGUGGCCAAACAUGGUUGCAACGGGUAACGGAGGGUUAGGGCUCGACCCCGGAGAAGGAGCCUGAGAAACGGCUACUACAUCCAAGGAAGGCAGCAGGCGCGCAAAUUACCCAAUCCCGAUUCGGGGAGGUAGUGACAAUAAAUACUGAUACAGGGCUCUUUCGGGUCUUGUAAUCGGAAUGAGUACAAUUUAAAUCCCUUAACGAGGAACAAUUGGAGGGCAAGUCUGGUGCCAGCAGCCGCGGUAAUUCCAGCUCCAAUAGCGUAUAUUAAAGUUGUUGUGGUUAAAAAGCUCGUAGUUGAACCUUGGGCCUGGCUGGCCGGUCCGCCUCACCGCGUGUACUGGUCCGGCCGGGCCUUUCCCUCUGUGGAACCUCAUGCCCUUCACUGGGUGUGCUGGGGAAACAGGACUUUUACUUUGAAAAAAUUAGAGUGCUCCAGGCAGGCCUAUGCUCGAAUACAUUAGCAUGGAAUAAUAAAAUAGGACGUGCGGUUCUAUUUUGUUGGUUUCUAGGACCGCCGUAAUGAUUAAUAGGGACAGUCGGGGGCAUCAGUAUUCAAUUGUCAGAGGUGAAAUUCUUGGAUUUAUUGAAGACUAACUACUGCGAAAGCAUUUGCCAAGGAUGUUUUCAUUAAUCAGGAACGAAAGUUAGGGGAUCGAAAACGAUCAGAUACCGUUGUAGUCUUAACCAUAAACUAUGCCGACUAGGGAUCGGACGAUGUUAUUUUUUGACUCGUUCGGCACCUUACGAGAAAUCAAAGUGCUU